rnacentral:rRNA from 1 species
UACGUAGGGACCUAGCGUUGUCCGGAAUCAUUGGGCGUAAAGCGCGCGUAGGCGGCCCGGUAAGUCCGUUGUAAAAGUCGAAGGCUCAACCUUCGAAAGCCGAUGGAUACUGCCGGGCUAGAGUCCGGAAGAGGCGAGUAGAAUUCCUGGUGUAGCGGUGGAAUGCGCAGAUAUCAGGAAGAACACCCGUGGCGAAGGCGGCUCUCUGGGACGGUACUGACGCUGAGACGCGAAAGCGUGGGGAGCGAACAGG